UCCCUGCAGUCACGAAAGCUUUAAAUCGAAAAAUGUUCAUUUCGACUGGAGGAAUCCGAUGAGCUAUGAAGAUCUUCAAAGACGUCCAGCAGUUGGGUGGGCUCCGUUGUGGGUUCUGUUUGCCGAGCGGCCACUGCCGAGGUUGCCGCGGCGUCAAUUCCGCCACGACCGGAGAUCUCCGUUGGGAGUCGCGUUUGGAGGGACGCGAGGGAGCCCCCUGCCGGUCACCGAGACGAGCCUGUCGCCCGAACUCUCGGCAUCUCGUUAAUUGCAGCCAGUGAGAGCGCGUGGGGAACUGCCCUUCACGGGAGCAGACGUGCGGGUGGACGGGGAGAGCCGUCGAGACGGGCGUUGCCCAACAACACGCGAUAACACUUUUGGAGUGCUGUGCCCGAGAGGUCCCUGCAAGGGGGACUGUCCUCUGUGGCAGAGUCCGGCUAGGAAUGUCUCUCGUGGGAUAAAACAAGGGUAAAAUCUGGAUGGAGGGGAAUGCACAAAAGCUCUGCAUAUUGCUACAUGAACUGGGAAAUGCAGGACCGUGAGUCCCUGUAAACGGGCGUGCCGGUGGGUGCGUAAGGGUGAUGGAGUCGUCCGAUUGCGUUGCGUGUAAAUACGGGUUCCUUUUUAUUUAUUAAGUCACAUACAGAUCACACGAGUCAGAAAAUGCUUGUGAGGUUCUGCCGAAAAGUGGGCAUGAAAGUUUGAGGGCCUCUGUGCAUGCCGAAUCGGGCCGGGACCACCGGAUAAUAUUGGAAGCAGCCGGUUAAUCGAUGAUCCACUGCAAUUCGCUCUCUGCAAAAUAAGCCCGCUCUCCGUUUCCGUCAGCGUCUUGAGGUGCGCUCACUUCUUGACGCUUUGCGAGCACGCGCUGUGUCGCUAUAUCGUGUUUAUGGCGUGCAAUGCGCGAAGAUGUGGUGACUGGUGGUAGACGUGGCGUGAGACGGUGCCCCCUACGAACGUGCGUGCGUGUGUGCUGUGGGGAGCGGCAGUGUAGCAGUCAGCGCGCUGCGCUACGAAUCCAGCAAUCCGAGUUCGAUUCCCGCUCACGGCCAACACCAGUGACGAUUUUCUGAACCAGUAAUGGGCCUCCCCUAGGUCGACUCGGCCUCAAAUGAGUACCCGGUGCAGUGUGUCAACAUUGCCACUGGGGAGACAAAGGCGGCCGGGCGUGGUGAUGGCAACCUACCCCUUUGUGUACCGUGCCGGCCUUCACAGGUGCUCGCUAACAGCAUUUGCCCCAACAGUCUGUUAAGGCUACACGGGGGAUCUUUGUCUUUAUUUUUGUGUGUGUGCCGUGGCGAUGUCCGUGUGUGACCAGGGGGAGGAGCUGCACUUCCUCCACUGCGGAGCACCGCUGUGGGGGAGCGCGCCAAAGCCACAGCCAGCCGCGCGGGCCAUGCUGAGCCACGCUGCUGUGGUUUAGCCACUCCCCGUCCGUCACCACAGGUUCGCACGCUGAGCAGCGACUGCCACAUCUGAUCUGAACUUCCCCAAGGGACGCCGUCGUUGGUCGCGUGCGGCGGCCACGCCAGGGGAGACCAGGGCUCGUUGCGAGGGCGCGCAGCGGCGAGGCCCGGCGACGGAAGGGAUGGGAGAGCCCUUCCAGCGCUGCACCGAGAAGCACAAGGACGACCGGGAGCACCUGGGCAAGAAAAUCCAGAAGCUGGUGUCUAGCGUCAACAGAAACCCGCCACAGAUAUGAUUGACCUCUCUGCUGCCUACGACACCGUUUGACGUCAUGGCCUGCUGUGGAAGAUGGCCCAAAUUAUCAGAGCCGUUCCUCUGUUCACCCUUCUGUUGCAAUGCUCAGCAACCGCACUGCCAGGGUACACCUCGCUGGCAAGCGCAGCCGCAAGAGAAUUGUGAACAAUGCCCUCCCUCGAGGCUCGGUAAUAGCACCAUCGCUAACACCAUGUAUAAGUGACCUGCCAUUUCCAUCAUCUUGCAAGUUCAUUGGAUGGCAUAGCCCUUGCUGCACUGGGCACAAACAUAGAGAACAUUGCCAAUACCCUAAUAGCUGAAGGGUAUUUUCGUCACUGGACAAUGACCAAGUCCUUCCAAAACCACCACACGUGCUUUCCACCUGAACAAUCGUGCAGCAGAUGCCACCCUUGAUGUGUCCUUCUGUAGUAGCCCAGUGUGCAAUGACCCGACUCCAAUUUAUAUAGGGGUUAUCGUGGACAGAAGGCUGACCUUCAAGCCCCACAUAAAACAGAUCGGUGAAAAGACCAAAUCAAAAAUCAUCUGCAGAAACGUGCAGGAAUUACCUGGGGUGCCUCAGCUGAACUGCCGCCCUCUCACUGAUGAUCUACUCGGUACCAGAGGAGGCCUUGCCUUGUAUGCAGGAAGUCGUGGGUUCGAUCCCGACCCUGAUGCCUGCUGUAUAUUUGGAGUAUGUUCUCUCCGUGGUCGCGUGGAUUUUUCUCCGGGUCCUCCGUAUUUUCCCUCCACAUUUAGAAUCGACUUGUGUUUAUAGUAUUUGGCUGCUAUGAAUUCAAUGUGAUAAGCCACUUCGUUGAGCUAUUUGUGGCCAGGUAACUUCUGAAAAACAGCUAAAUGGCUCAGUGGGCCUUACCUGGCAAAAUGAACAUAUUUUAAUAGUUUAAAUAGAGUCACUGCGCUCCAGCCUGAUCCAGGAGCUCAUACACAAAUCUGCUAGAUGCACAAUUAAAUAUUGCAAUGCACAUUGUAACAGGAACACUGAAACUGAUACCAGCCCCAUGGCUCCCUGUUCUGGUGAAUAUUCUGCCACCAAAUAGCCGCAGAGACCUGCAAACUGCAAGGGAGUUGACACCGGCAACCACCGACCCAUCAACAAUGCUCCUCGCCACUGAGCUCAAUACCCAAUCCUCCUUCUGGGAUUGCUGCGGUCACCAUCCCAGAACCACACCCAGUGGGGCAAUGCGGAUGUCCAGAAUAAACACCUCGAUUGAGACCCAAACAUCAGGCCUCCCGACUCUGACAUUCCUCCUCCUCGAGGACCGUCAACCGCAUCGGAGCAUCACCAGGCCGAUGCGCACCGUCUCUCCAUCACAAGUGGAAAGUUGAAGACGCAAGCCGCAAGUAGUGCGAUUGCUGGCAUGCAAGCCACAUCUUCGGACAAUGUCGGAAACCCAUUCAUACACGGAGGUACAUGGA